AUCCAUCUGACAAGUCCCAAAUAGGACGAAACACACGUUCUGGAU
rnacentral:hammerhead_ribozyme from 1 species